GUAAUUGCAGUGAAAGGGACAGCCCACACAGGACAUUCCCUGCAGAGAGCCGCCGGCUGGUGUGAGGCGGCGGGAAUAUGUGUGGUCAAUCACCCUGGAGCAGGCGGCUGAAAUUCCGUAUUGGAAGAGUAGGCAUGCCCGGUUUUCCCCGUUAUUGGAAAGCACAUUGCUGGAUGUGCAUGAGGCCGCGCAAGCGGUGAAGCAGAGUGGUACCACGGAAGAGCUUUCGCUCCCGUCUCUGGC
rnacentral:ncRNA from 1 species